GACGAACGCUGGCGGCGUGCCUAAUACAUGCAAGUCGAGCGGACCACUUCGGUGGUCAGCGGCGGACGGGUGAGUAACACGUGGGCAACCUGCCUGUAAGACUGGGAUAACACCGGGAAACCGGUGCUAAUACCGGAUAAUCCUUUCCUUCACAUGAAGGGAAGCUGAAAGACGGUUUCGGCCGUCACUUACAGAUGGGCCCGCGGCGCAUUAGCUAGUUGGUGAGGUAACGGCUCACCAAGGCAACGAUGCGUAGCCGACCUGAGAGGGUGAUGGGCCACACUGGGACGGAGACACGGCCCAGACUCCUACGGGAGGCAGCAGUAGGGAAUCUUCCGCAAUGGACGAAAGUCUGACGGAGCAACGCCGCGUGAGCGAUGAAGGCCUUCGGGUCGUAAAGCUCUGUUGUCAGGGAAGAACAAGUACCGGAGUAACUGCCGGUACCUUGACGGUACCUGACCAGAAAGCCACGGCUAACUACGUGCCAGCAGCCGCCGCAGUAA
rnacentral:rRNA from 1 species